rnacentral:tRNA from 1 species
AGUAAGGUGCCUGAUAAAAGGGCUAUCUUGAUAGGAUAGAUAAUGUAAAUGAACUUUUACCCUUACUA